UACAGAGGUCCCAAGCGUUGUUCGGAUUCAUUGGGCGUAAAGGGCGCGUAGGCGGUGCGGUAAGUCACCUGUGAAAUCUCCUGGCUCAACUGGGAGCUUGCAGGCGAAACUGCCGUGCUGGAGUGUGGGAGAGGUGCGUGGAAUUCCUGGUGUAGCGGUGAAAUGCGUAGAUAUCAGGAGGAACACCUGUAGCGAAAGCGGCGCACUGGACCACAACUGACGCUGAGGCGCGAAAGCUAGGGGAGCAAGCAGG
rnacentral:rRNA from 1 species